AAACCUUGUUUACAAUUUGUCUGUGAAAAUCGACGCUGGUCAGCUGAUGGUUGUAAUCAAGGUUAUUAGACUCUAUACAGGUUACGACAGAGCGAUUGAGAGGGUCACCAUUUUGUAAACCUUGUUUACAAUUUGUCUGUCAAAAUCGACGCCGGUCAGCUGAUGCUUGGAAUAAACAACAUUAAUAAGAUUGCAGAAGCUGAAACUAACGAUUCAUGUUUUCUCCACCUACCACGUUCCAUCGUUAAUAGAAUACGACUUCUUUGUUGGCCUGUUCAAUGUUGAGUUUGAAAUUGCAGUCACAGCUUCUGGGGACGAGCAUUUAUGCUGCUAGACGGCAUUGUUAAAAAGGGUGAGAAAUUAUGCAGUCCUGAACGCGACCCUACUGCCCACAGGUGCGACCAAGCUGUGACAAGGGAGAAAUCGAGUAAGUGAGAAUCUAGUAAAAAUAUGCUUUUGUUGUGGUGAAAAGAUCCAACAUGUAGGAGUUUAACAUUGUGUCAGCAUUAUCAGCAUUACGGACAAGGAGAUAAAUAAGCGAUUGAAGUAUCCAGCUAGAAAGCAUAUGUUGGAGGGAAAUGUAUGCAGUUGCUGGAAAUUGUGCGAUUUCUCAAGUGGGUGUGCAGUGCAGACACAGUUUCAUCUUACGAGUUUCCUUUCCGUCCAACAACAGUUCAGGGAGGGGUGCAAAGUGCCGUUUCUUCCCAAAGCAAUCACUGUUCAUUAUAGAUGAGGAAUCAUACCAUGCCUGGCUAUUGGACAGUAUCCGUUGGGAUGAGGUUUAGCUCCCUUCAGACUCCACCCGACUGCAACAUAAUGCCCUGAUGACCGAGAUGGCAUGUUGCUACGACUAGAUGAGUAUCUUUUCACUAAUGAACGAAUGACCCGUUGAAUGUUGCUCCAUUCUAGGGAACGAAUUCUUUUACCGCCCGGAUGUAACUGCAGCAUCAGCAGAGGGAGAAGCUGCUCAUAUAUGCCGUCAUAUAGAGAUAAACCGUUAGCUGGCCAACACAUGUAUUGGCGUAUCCCUGUGGAUCCAACAGUGCCGCGUGAUGGGUCCAGCACACAAAUAACCAACAAUUGCAACCAUAGCCCGACUCCAGUGUGUGAUCUGGUUGCAUAAUCAGUUCUGACACGCAGACUGGAUGCACGUGACCAUACGUCAUCUACUAUCUCAGCUCAUUAAUGAACAAUGAAAGACAGUCAAUCUCAUAUCGAAGCAAACCACUAAUACUCAAAACUUGAGAAGCAUAUCGACGAUCGUGGGGAUCAUUAAACCAAACAUACGACACCGAAUUUCAUAUGGGAGAAGAGUAGCACCCGAUUACCCCAAGAGCCGCCUAACGGUUAAACGCUUUCAGCCCUGCCAGUUCAUACCAGACUAACUGGGUUACAAACAAUGCUCGCGUAUUCUAAAGUAGGUUAGACUAAGCUACAGUAAAGGGUUUUGAGGCAAUAGGGUAACGCAAAUCAUGCAUCAUCAAUGAUUCCGACCCGCAAGUGGAGCGGGUGUGCUAGAUCGGAGUCGGAAACAAAUCCGACCCGAGGUAGUAAGGACUUAAAGUUGACUCGAAUGAUAAGUAGUUGUAAGAAAGCAUAAGCGACUCCGACCCACUGGUGCAGCGAGUUUGGGUCAGGUCAAAGUAGGUUUAAUACCCGACCCGUACUCGCUGCACCAAUGGGCCGGAAUCGCUUAUGCUUUCUCGUAUCUACCGAAAUCGUUGCACAUACUACAUCUAUUUGUACGUUUCAGGUUGACCCGCACGACUACGGGAUGCUUUGGAUUGCUCCGACCCGGUGAAUUCCAGUUGCCCCGCUUUUCACUAGUGUGUGUAUGGAAGAACGUGCGUGAGUUGUCGGAUCGCUGACAAAGCAGUAGGAGAAGCACUUAAAUUAAGCUGCACCGAGGUGGCAUGAAUUCUCCCCCACUGGAACAAGACUGCAGCCGGGGGGGACUGCAGCACGAACAUUCGUUUGCUAUGAUACGGAACUGUAACAGGAGCAGCAUAGACGAUCACCCUGAACCCGACGAUUGUGGCGAAUCGGCACGGAGCCUCGCCGCUUCCCACACAUCGCAGUAGGGUCGCGUUCAGGACUGCAUAAUUUUGUAACCCUUUUUAACAAUGCAGCUGCUAGACGGCAUAAACCCUCGUCCCCAGAAGCUGUGACUGCAAUUUCAAACCUGGAGAACAUACGGAACUGUAGGUUGAUUGGGUCAAAUAAGCUACUUUGAUCUACGGGGAGUGAAAUUUAGAUCUCUUUUUUGUCGCGUGAGACGUUAUCGUUCUAGGUCUAUUUGAACGGUAACAAGAUCUAUCCGUUGGGGCCGGCUGGGACAUUUGGUAACUAGGCGAUCUGAACUUACUUACUUAUCGUGCCUUUGUUUGCCAAACUGUUAUCCCGGCCGUAAUGGCGAACGCCUCCACGUCACGUAGGAAAUAGCGUAGGAAUUCUGGAUUUGGAAAGAAACUUGAACCUCGUCUCGGUCUGGAACCGAUACAGUUUUAUCGAUCGAUUUACAGAUCGAUUAACAGAGUUUUCUGGUCUGCAAAUCAUACUGUCUGCAGCAGAAGAAUUACAUAGGAAUUAGCGUAGAAAUUCCGCAUUCGGAACGAAACUAGCGCCUCUAGGUCUAGAAUCGAUGCAGUUCCAGUUCCAAUCGAGUAGCUGAUUCUGCUUUUUCUGAUUCUGCUUUUUCUGAUUCUGCUGGUCGAUAAGCCAUACCCAGUAGUUCAUGUGCAGCGUAGGAAUAGCGAAGGAAAUAGCAUAGGAUUUUUAGCAAAAAUUGUAGAGUGAAGGGGCAUACGAGUAGUUCAAAAUAUCGUUUUGGUAAGUGUAUCUGGAGUAGAAAGGCAAAAUACGAUAUAUACUGCGCAAGACAAAUAAGUCGUUAUUAAUUGAAAAUGCAUGAUCUGUACGAAAACUCGA